UACGGAGGGUGCAAGCGUUAUCCGGAUUCACUGGGUUUAAAGGGUGCGUAGGCGGGCAGGUAAGUCCGUGGUGAAAUCUCUGAGCUUAACUCAGAAACUGCCAUGGAUACUAUUUGUCUUGAAUAUUGUGGAGGUGAGCGGAAUAUGUCAUGUAGCGGUGAAAUGCUUAGAUAUGACAUAGAACACCAAUUGCGAAGGCAGCCCACUACACAGUUAUUGACGCUGAGGCACGAAAGCGUGGGGAUCAAACAGG
rnacentral:rRNA from 1 species